rnacentral:rRNA from 1 species
CCUACGGGUGGCAGCAGUGAGGAAUAUUGGUCAAUGGGCGCAAGUCUGAACCAGCCAUGUCGCGUGAAGGAUGACGGCCCUAUGGGUUGUAAACUGCUUUUGUAAGAGAGUAAAUCCCGCCACGUGUGUCGGGUUGUAAGUAUUUUAUGAAUAAGGAUCGGCUAACUCCGUGCCAGCAGCCGCGGUAAUACGGAGGAUUCAAGCGUUAUCCGGAUUUAUUGGGUUUAAAGGGUGCGUAGGGGGUUCGAUAAGUUAGUUGUGAAAUUUUGGGGCGUAACUCCAGCACUGCCGUUGAUAAUGUCGGGUUAGAGUGUAGUAGCGGUAGGCGGAAUGGAUGGUGUAGCGGUGAAAUGCAUAGAGAGCAUACAGAACACCGAUUGCGAAGGCAGCUUACCAAACUACGAGUGACGUUGAGGCACGAAAGCGUGGGGAGCAAACAGGAUUAGAUACCCGUGUAGUC